UCGAACGAACUCUGGUAUUGAUUGGUGCUUGCAUCAUGAUUUACAUUUGAGUGAGUGGCGAACUGGUGAGUAACACGUGGGAAACCUGCCCAGAAGCGGGGGAUAACACCUGGAAACAGAUGCUAAUACCGCAUAACAACUUGGACCGCAUGGUCCGAGCUUGAAAGAUGGCUUCGGCUAUCACUUUUGGAUGGUCCCGCGGCGUAUUAGCUAGAUGGUGGGGUAACGGCUCACCAUGGCAAUGAUACGUAGCCGACCUGAGAGGGUAAUCGGCCACAUUGGGACUGAGACACGGCCCAAACUCCUACGGGAGGCAGCAGUAGGGAAUCUUCCACAAUGGACGAAAGUCUGAUGGAGCAACGCCGCGUGAGUGAAGAAGGGUUUCGGCUCGUAAAACUCUGUUGUUAAAGAAGAACAUAUCUGAGAGUAACUGUUCAGGUAUUGACGGUAUUUAACCAGAAAGCCACGGCUAACUACGUGCCAGCAGCCGCGGUAAUACGUAGGUGGCAAGCGUUGUCCGGAUUUAUUGGGCGUAAAGCGAGCGCAGGCGGUUUUUUAAGUCUGAUGUGAAAGCCUUCGGCUCAACCGAAGAAGUGCAUCGGAAACUGGGAAACUUGAGUGCAGAAGAGGACAGUGGAACUCCAUGUGUAGCGGUGAAAUGCGUAGAUAUAUGGAAGAACACCAGUGGCGAAGGCGGCUGUCUGGUCUGUAACUGACGCUGAGGCUCGAAAGUAUGGGUAGCAAACAGGAUUAGAUACCCUGGUAGUCCAUACCGUAAACGAUGAAUGCUAAGUGUUGGAGGGUUUCCGCCCUUCAGUGCUGCAGCUAACGCAUUAAGCAUUCCGCCUGGGGAGUACGGCCGCAAGGCUGAAACUCAAAGGAAUUGACGGGGGCCCGCACAAGCGGUGGAGCAUGUGGUUUAAUUCGAAGCUACGCGAAGAACCUUACCAGGUCUUGACAUACUAUGCAAAUCUAAGAGAUUAGACGUUCCCUUCGGGGACAUGGAUACAGGUGGUGCAUGGUUGUCGUCAGCUCGUGUCGUGAGAUGUUGGGUUAAGUCCCGCAACGAGCGCAACCCUUAUUAUCAGUUGCCAGCAUUAAGUUGGGCACUCUGGUGAGACUGCCGGUGACAAACCGGAGGAAGGUGGGGAUGACGUCAAAUCAUCAUGCCCCUUAUGACCUGGGCUACACACGUGCUACAAUGGAUGGUACAACGAGUUGCGAACUCGCGAGAGUAAGCUAAUCUCUUAAAGCCAUUCUCAGUUCGGAUUGUAGGCUGCAACUCGCCUACAUGAAGUCGGAAUCGCUAGUAAUCGCGGAUCAGCAUGCCGCGGUGAAUACGUUCCCGGGCCUUGUACACACCGCCCGUCACACCAUGAGAGUUUGUAACACCCAAAGUCGGUGGGGUAACCUUUUAGG
rnacentral:rRNA from 1 species